AACGAACGCUGGCGGCGCGCCUAAUACAUGCAAGUCGAGCGAGAAGACGUAGCAAUACGUUUGUAAGGCGGCGAACGGGUGAGGAAUACAUGGGUAACCUACCCUCGAGUGGGGAAUAACUAGCCGAAGGUUAGCUAAUACCGCGUACGCUCCUUGGACUUCGGUUCAGGGAGGAAAGCGAUACCGUGGGUAUCGCGCUCUUGGAUGGGCUCAUGUCCUAUCAGCUUGUUGGGAGGUAACGGCUCACCAAGGCUUCGACGGGUAGCUGGUCUGAGAGGACAAUCAGCCACACUGGCACUGCGACACGGGCCAGACUCCUACGGGAGGCAGCAGUAAGGAAUAUUGCGCAAUGGGCGAAAG
rnacentral:rRNA from 1 species